rnacentral:tRNA from 1 species
GGCACUGUAGCUCAGUUGGUAGAGCACUUGCUUAACAUCUGACGUUCGCAAGUUGUCCUCGGUUCGAGCCCGGGCAGAGUCA